rnacentral:misc_RNA from 1 species
GCCAAAUACAUUUGGUUUCAAAAUUGAAGACAAGAAGGGGCGAAUGCACAGAUUUACUUGUGAUACUAGGAGUUUGACAGAUCUAGUAACGGCUAUACUUCAGAGGUUAGGGGAUGACAUUGACCGAAACAAUUUGCCUCAAAUUCUGUAUGAAGAUGAAGAUCAUGAUAAAGUUGUUCUGGAGUCAGAUAGUGAUCUUGCUGCAGCCGUUGAGCAUGCAAAAUUAGUUGGUUUCAAGGGUCUGAGAUUGCAUUUAGACUAUUCUGGAAUA